UAUGUAGUGGAUCUCGAUUGUGGAUAAUUCUUUGGAGCGCUACCGCGUCAAAGGAAUUGAAGGAAUUCAUUCUAUCAUGGCAUUUUUUUGCGUCUAAGAGGCGCGACCACAAUGCCGCACGAUGACAAAUUACUUUUUAGUCGUCCAAGACAGAGUCACAAAGUGUCGUGAAAAUUUUUUUACAAAAAAAAAAAAAAAAAAUAAAUAAAAUAACCAAUAAUAAAAAUGCAAAUAAAAGUCAGUUACUUUUUCAGUUGAUUAAAAAUAUACGAGUAAUAAAAAUAAAAGCAAAGUGUUUUUGCAAGACGAAAAUGAGUGAUACAAACCAACGAAAAACGAGCAACACAAACUCUAUUUACUCAUCGACGACAAUUCGUUCGUAAAACUGUGUACAAGAGUUACGAGUUCACGAGGCGAUAAAGUCUGGGCUCGUAACACGCCCUGAGAAGAAUAAAAGUGAAAAAAAUAAAAAUAAAAAAGAAAGAGAGAGGGUACAAGCAAUGCUGAGAUUUUGUCGGCGGUUAGUUUGUUUUAUGGCGAACCCAAUGUUCAGAAGGAAGUUUGUGCUUAUUCUUUCUGGUCCAUCUGCGCUUUAUGGCCCUUUAAGGAAUUUAGCUUAAACAUAAUUGAUGGAUUGUACAUUUGCCAAAAAAAGAUAAAGAACGUUCUUUUUCCUUCUGCGUGGAAUAAGAUACAAUUUUAGUUCGCUGGACCACCGACAGCUCUUUCUUCCUUCGAUCAUUAACAUUCCCGACGCAAUUGCCCACCCCCACGUCAACGGGAACUCAGGUAAAUACUUAAAAGAAGCUUUUAGAGUGCGAUUAUAAGGAAAAUUACUGCCGAAGAAAAAACAGAUGGUCAUGGUGGACCAAAAAGAGGUUGUGCCGCUAAUGGACAGAAGCAGAUGAAACAAAACGAGUCAAGAAGAAGUCACUAUUUGGCCAUCGCCGACGGCUUUUUUUAUCGUUUUCGAAUCCUCGUUUUCUUUUCAUCCAUCAUCCAACUCUGUAACUGCUUUUGAUAGCUGUCUUGGCUGAGCAUCAUCAUUCGUUUAUUUAUGUACAUACUCAUCAUGUGUAUGUAGCACCAUACGGUGUGGUACAUUAUUAAAUAGAGACACAAACUCUUUCUGUUUCUGUUUUAAUAGUUUUUAAUCAAAAAUUAAAAAACAAUUUGACGCUGAUAAUUUUUUACAUUUUUUUUUCUAAUUUUAGAAUUCAAAGUACGUAACUAUUCGUUCAUUUACUUUUUAUGACUGCUAUUGAAAAUUAAACGAUUGUAAUGACCCUUAAAAAUCCUUCAGCUUCAAACGGAUGUUAUCUCAAGUGUUUUCUCGCACGUGAGCUUGUUGAAAAGAAUUCUAGGAUACUUGAUGAAGGUUUCACUGGAUGAAGCGUAUUUGCAAAGAUCACUUUCGUUAAUUUAUGACAUUGAUCUCGAGAUAAUAAUGACUCAUCAUAUAUGUUUAUUUAGAAUGAAAAAACAAUAUUUAUUUGAAAAUAUAUAAAAGUAUCUUAGAGAAAAUUUUGU